AAAUAGUUUUCAGUCGCAGUCGCAGUUUUCAGUUUAUACUGUGACCAAAAACUGAGACUGAAAACUGAGACUGAAAACUGA
rnacentral:sRNA from 1 species